CGCUCCUCUCUGGCGCCGCCGCCGCCGCCCUGCUCUCGUUCCCCUCCCUAUCCAUCUCAAUCUUCUCCGGUGCCACCACGAUCUUCAACCUCCUGCCGCCGUAUGUCUCCGAUUUGGAUCGGAGUCCGUGUUCCCCCAGGAUAAGUGCUGCAACACAAAUCCAUGGCGUGCCCGACCCAGAUUUGAGAGUGACUUGGCUGCCAUUAGAAGGAGCCCUCGACCGGAAUCUCCAUUAAAUCGCAUCAUAUCGCAACUUUUGAAGAGUCGUCCAGGAUCGUCUCAGCCGAGUUCGCCAGAAGAAAAUCCGCCGCCCAAGCGUACUACACGUGAGCCCGAAGAACAUCCCCUGCCGAACAUGCUACCCCAGAGAUCACAUCUUCCUUUGCUAGAACACGUGAGCUGAUUCCAACUUUGGCCUCAAGUUGCUCCCGUCGAUGACAAGUGGUUAGUUUUAUGGGGUUCACAAUUGACUUUUUCAACUAUAAUACAAUAGUCAGUGCAUGAGACAGAGAUAACUCAUGUUGGAUCGACACCUCCAUAUCAGAGAUAACGUUUUUAAUGGAGGAUAAUUCAUAUUCAGUUCUCCUCUCAAUUUUGGUGUUGCCAAGCUUGAUCUUUAUCCAUCUAACUGACUGAAAGUGCCUUCUAAUCACUAUUGAACGCAUAUGUUAGUUAGUUUGACUGUAUACACCACAUAAAAAGUAAAAACAUUCUCGAGAAACAAAAGGCACACCUAUAGGAUUUUUUUUCUUAACAAAAUGUAUUAAUUUGACUAUUUGAGUAUAAAAAUUGUGCAAUCGCAAUCUUGCUUUUUUCAAGGAAAACAGGGGACUGCUACGUACUCGAUAUGGAUCGAGGCUAAUUAUUGAUCUCCCAAGUUAAAAAUAUGAAAAUAACUUUCAUUUAGUAAUGGAUAUAUAGUCAAGAAAGGAUGCCUUUCCCUAAAGAUACAAAGCAAAAUCAUGUUCGUGUAUGUCCGGCUGACAGAUGAAUCGAUCUCCUUUCAAGUAUCAACCCAACAACCUUCGUGUACGGGUCCAUUGGCCUGCGUAGCACACAUCCCUUCACUAAUUCCAUCAGUAUCAUUCUUAACAAGGUAAGUAUGAUUCCCUAAUCACUGAUUUUAUUAAUUGAUCUUUGAUCCUUCAUCCCUAAUGUCGUUAUACCUUAUUGAUUCUAUAAAAGAUCUCAAACAGGAACAUACCAUUAUUGAGGCUACAAUUCCUAUAACUUGCCUUGUCAAUUUGAUAAAAUUACAUGUGUGAUGGAGGUUGUAACUUAUUACGGUUUACAUUGUCAGAAUGAUAUCUGUGUCAUCUCUAAACAUAUGUAUAUAUUUGGUGUGCCGGAUUUUCUGAUGUAGAUGCUAUAUAAGAGGAAGCUAUUCGACAAUCCUGCUCAAGUUGGUACGGAUCAGACAGAUUUUAUUCAGUAAUAUGCUUGAUAGAUACAAGCCUCCCUCUUCUGCCCUUCUUUUCUCCAUCCUCUACAGGUCACCAACACAUGUGAAUCGUUCUCGUCAAGAGCAUGCUUGUGACAUCAUUACUAUAUGUGAUGCACGGCAAAAGGAUGUUGUCAGAAUCUAAGUGUUCAAGUACAAUCUCUAGCCAAGUUCUCUUUGUUGUUGUGUUGAAUUUUGAGGAAAGGCGGCCAAGCAGCUCGUGGCAUCUAUGUCACGCCUGCUCUGCCGCUGCCUUGACCCGCCGACGACGUCGCUGGUUGAGCCGCAAGGUUGCAAGAUCAUCGUGGGGCCCAUUGCAUGGGCUCCGAGUAUGCUUGAUUGCCAUGUCGGAGGCGAAGGUGCUAGAGCUUGGUGGCAUGUUUGCAUUUGUGGAUGCAUGAAUAAUUGUCAAGGAGGCCGAAGCCAGCGCUAUUACGGUUGGACUGAAGGAAUUGUAUAACGUAUUCUGAGGCUCCUUGGUGGUGGAGAUCGACUACGCAGUGGGGAAAUGAGCUAGGGGCUGAUUCUGUAAGCAGAUCAUUGCCGUGCCCAAUUAUUGUUGAUAUUAAAUCUGCGCUGAGUAUUUUUUAGGCAUUAUCACAUCAGAACUGUCAAGAGGGACAAACAAGGGACUGGCUCAUGAACCAGCCAAUGACGCUAAAGCUCAUGGAGACCUUGUGGUUGCGUAUGGUGUCCCAGACCAACUCCAUGAUCAGCUCUGGAAGGAAAAUAAUGCAGCCUUGAUGUCGGCCUAAGUUUUGAUGUAAUCCUAAAAAAAGAUAUUGCUUGCAGAUAGGUUAUACAUAAACAUGCAUGUUGUAGGUCUGUUAAUUUUAGUUUUGAAUACUGAGAUCUAUUCAUAUGCUUUCCUUACUCUUAUGGCUAAAAAAAUCCAGCAGACAGUGACUGAAAUUUGUUAGUUUUACUCAACUUGCUGCUGCUUGAUCAGUACUCAAUCAGGCUGAGGGUGACCAUGAUAGCUGGUGUUGAGUAGGUAUAUGCAUUGAAUUUUCCGUUGUGCCAAGACUAACACAUUAGAAUCUUCCAAUUUGGUGCUACCAUAUUUCAAAGUAAGAACACUAUGAUGCAAAGGAAUCUUAUUAUGUAGCCAUAUGUAAUCUCAAUUUGUUGUUAUGUAUAAACUAUGAUAGGAGUAGGCCCAUAUAGUUGUGUAUCCAUUUUUGCCUUCUACUGAUCUAUGACAAUGGGGAUGUGCUGGACUAAGUUGUCGUUGCUAUUGAAAAGC